CUGUUUCGGCAAGGGGGUCAUCCCGACUUACCAACCCGAUGCAAACUGCGAAUACCGGAGAAUGUUAUCACGGGAGACACACGGCGGGGGCUAACGUCCGUCGUGAAGAGGGAAACAACCCAGACCGCCAGCUAAGGUCCCAAAGUCAUGGUUAAGUGGGAAACGAUGUGGGAAGGCCCAGACAGCCAGGAUGUUGGCUUAGAAGCAGCCAUCAUUUAAAGAAAGCGUAAUAGCUCACUGGUCGAGUCGGCCUGCGCGGAAGAUGUAACGGGGCUAAACCAUGCACCGAAGCUGCGGCAGCGACGCUUAUGCGUUGUUGGGUAGGGGAGCGUUCUGUAAGCCUGUGAAGGUGUGCUGUGAGGCAUGCU
rnacentral:rRNA from 1 species